CUCAAAAAUAGCAUGGUAACAGUUUCUUCUGGUUCUCCACAUCUUGGACAAUAAUUAUUACAUCGCAUAUUGCGACAGAUCAGGUUCCUUGUGACCGCCACAUGCCAUGUUAUCAGUUGCCAAAUAAAAUGACAUAAUUUUUAAAGUGCUUUUAUUUUUCAAGUAAAGGCUUGGAGCUUGUUUAUAUUAGGUCAUGACAUUGCCUUAUUUAAAACAUGUAUUUUUAAUUAUUUUUGUUAUUCCAAGAAAUAUUUUUAUUCCAACAAACGAUAUAUUGCAUUAUUUCUCUAUCCCUUUCAACUAAUUAAAUAAUUAAAGCCUAAAAAAACUGUCUAUAUUACUUGUAUUAAUGAUACUAAUCGUCAACCAUAUGUUUUGUAUUUGAAACUUACACCAUCAUGCUCUAAUAACACACCGGAUCAUAUGUUUUGUAUUUGAAACUUACACCAUGCAUCAUGCUCUAAUAAGACACCGGAUUCAACAUUUCAAUGUUUUCAAAUUGACAUGUAAUAUAUAUACAUAAAUCCUGAUAUAAUGUUAUUUUGCAGUAUUCAAAAUUAUGAAAUCCUAAAAUAUAUGAUCAAAACUCAAUAAGCCCUAAUUCACAAAACCCUAAACCCGAAAUCUUUCCAAAAAUUUCCCCUCGUCUAUUGAAAAUAUACCAUCAAACUACAAUUUUGGAUAACUACUAAAUAAAAGCCGAUAUAUAUUUUUAAAAAUUUAUAUGCUUGAUACUCAAAUUUAUGAUUAUACCGAUAUAUUUAUUAACUAUUCAAAAUACUGUUUGGGUUAUCAUUAUAGUUGCAAAUCUUUUUCAAAUCAAUAAUAAACAAUAGAAACAAGAAAAUCAGAAGUUGUAAAUACUAAUCUCGAAUAUAGUAAAGCAGAAAACUAACCGCCAAUCAUUAUAGUUACCAAUCUUCCGCAAAUCAAUAACAAAAAAAUAGAAACAAAAAAAAAAUCAGAAGUUUCUAACAAACUGUCGAAUAUACUGAUUCAGAAAAUUUUAAUUUCCAUAACUUAAAUUAGCUUGUUACUCAAGAUAUGUGAUUAUGAAAAAAAAUUCUCUAACUGUAUUGAAUGGGAAUAUGCUAAACUGUGAGGCCUCAACCUUUCUUAUAUAUACUGCAUUCGAUAAUUCAAAGCAAACACCUUCUUUUCUAAGAGUUUCUGAUGUCAUUUCUUCCAAGCAAAAUAUAUAGUACCUUGAUGAAGUUAGUCCAUGGAAAUGGAUAUGAUUGAUCCAAGUCAAAGUGAUACACACCUGUAAAUCAUCCAAUGCUUGGUGUGAUGAGAGUUUGGAAAUCAUAUUUGCAGACAAAAAGUGUUAAUAUAAUUCAUCAUCUUAAAAGAGUACUGUUUUGUUAUUGUAGCGAAAGCAUGUUCAUAAAUAAAUUCUAUGUUUAAGUUAAUCAGUGAAAGUAAAACGUAAAUACUUUGAUGGGUUAUCAUGUUUUUUGUAUGUUUUUUUUCAUGAGAUCGUGGAAUAACAUCUAUGUUAUUCUGUAUAUUUUCUUGCAGGGGUUCAAAAUUCAAGCUACAUGUAAGAAGAACUACAUGAGGUCUUAGGGGGGGGUGAAUGCAAUGUUGGUGAAUGGAAGACUGUAGAGAACUUCCAAAUGAGUCCAACUGCAAAACAUUACCGACCAACAAAAAACAUGUACAAUAUGUCUUUCAUUCAUUAAGCGAUAUGACUUCCAAAACGAUGACAUGUUUCUUGCAUUAGCAGACUUCGAUUCUGUUAUGGGUGGAAGAUUGGAUGUUCAUUUCUUGAUUGGUAAUUUUCUUUAUUUGUUAUUUACCGUGUUUCUUUUGAUCGUCCACUAAUUAAGAUUUAUUAUUUUGUUUUCAAGAAAUUCUUGGACGUGCCAUAGAUAUCUCACAAAUUUGAACUCUGAAAUGUAAUAGAAAGGAGAAAAAAAGAUUGAAUCACACUAAGAGACAUCAAUGAUCAACGCAUAUCAUGUUGUUUGUGGAGGAAGUUUUCUGAGGUUAUGGAAUCUCAUAGAGAGGAAGCACAAUUUGGAGUUGUUGUCUGUUUGCUCAGAUUUGCUAAAAUCAGGUAAUCUCCACGUCUCAAAUGCUUAUGAUUCAUCACAAUUGGUUUUCAAUCCCAGCACAAAAGAAGCCGAGGAAAUUAAAGAAGUGUAUAAUUUUUAACCUUUUAAAAGCUAUAAAGUAUUUUGAUUCAUAUAUAUGUUAAUACUAGUGGUUUGUCCGCGCUACGGCGGAAUGUUUGCGAUUUGUGUUAUUUAACAAAGAACAUUUGUCAUUAGAUUCACUUGUUUAAUUCGAAAAUCUACAUUUGUAGUUGCUUUCUGUGUUGACAUAUACUUCUUUUUUAUUAGUUAAAUGUGAUCGGUUGAUGGAGCCGCUAGUUUUAGAGAAGCCAGAUUAUGAAAUUAAUUCAAUGUAUGGUGGCCAUGUGCAUAAUACAAAAUGUAUUUUUUAUUUGUUUACAGGCAGUUGGAAAUUGAUUUUAGUGCUAGUUUGAGUUUAAACGGAUCGUGUUGACCUAUUAUUCAAUAUUCUAUUCAUUCCAGUAAAGAAAAGUCAUACAUUUAACACAAAACAUUUAAGAUAUAUCAAUAGAAAAUAAAAAUCUGAGACAGUGAUCUUAUUGUUGUGGAUGGAACCGAUACAUCUGUUUGGUCGACUAAUAUAACCGGUGGAAAUGGGAAAUCCCCGGUGGUAGCAGAGGUUCUUGAUAACGGUAACUCCGUGCUUAGAAAAAACGACCAAGGAUCCCAUUCAUAUAAACACUUCUUCCACCAACAACAGAGAUUUACCUAGUUAUGUAAAUAUUCGAUUCUAGAAAUCUACA